CAGGAUUCCUGAUCAGAGGUGUCUUCACUAAACUAGACAAGCCUGCUUCAUCCUCAACAUCUAAUGGCUUUAGCGGAACAACACAAUUCAACAAAAAGCCGUCAGAGAGCUACAAGAAAAUAGCCCCCCACACCGUGAGGCCCACCUCAGAGAACCAGGACGGCACAGUUAGCCAUGAGGAGAAGGAGAGACGG